AUUUUUUUUCCCUCCCCAUACCUCCUUACCAAAAACAUGUGUGUUGCGUGAAGUGCUCACACAGAUUGUCUGAUGAAAAUAAUGAGCAAACGCACCUGUUGAUGCUUUGAGUGUAGACUCUUGCUGACCCCCCCGUGCCGGGUUUAUGACCUGGUGCGGAUUUUUUCUGUCCCCAUCGUCCUUCCGCCUAGUACACUGCCCUUUCCUGCUGUAACAAGGGUUCUAAUCCCCUUGGGGAACCAAUCUGAUAAUGACUGAAAGACAUUAUCACUAAUAUCUUAAAUAUGAUUCUUCGGAGUCAUGUUUACAAUAUUGCUCUUUAGUGUCUGGAACAAGCUGAAAAUUGAAACAUGACUCUUGAACAUCUAUGACCGCCUUCAGGUGUGUCCUGAUGAAUCGAACUGUCAUUGAAUCUCUCAAAUAAUCGUUGUGAUGAAUCUGGCUUUAUUCAUUAAAGACAUCUUCGGGUUGUGAGGUUAAGCGACUAUUCGUACACGACGGAUGCCGUUAGUGAGGUUAAGCGACUAAGCGUACACGGUGGAUGCCUUGA
rnacentral:misc_RNA from 1 species